rnacentral:misc_RNA from 1 species
GGUAGGGGUGUGCAUAAAGAGGUAUAGGCAUUGGCCCUUUGUCUAUUUUGUGGGCCAUUUGAAGAGUCAAAUUUGAGGAAUUUGAAGAACAUAGCAACUCUCUAGACAUUUUCAAAGAGAAGUUUGUAGAUGCUCCUUAUAUUUGCAUAACUUGAAUAUAUUUCCAUGCUGCUCUUCUGUGCUUCAUUAAUAGCUGGAGAGAAUUCUUGAAUCAUUUGCUUCUUUUGUACAUUGG